UGGUAGUGAGUUAUCUCAAUUGA
rnacentral:piRNA from 1 species